UACGUAGGGUCCGAGCGUUGUCCGGAAUUACUGGGCGUAAAGAGCUCGUAGGUGGUUUGUCGCGUUGUUCGUGAAAACUCACAGCUUAACUGUGGGCGUGCGGGCGAUACGGGCAGACUAGAGUACUGCAGGGGAGACUGGAAUUCCUGGUGUAGCGGUGGAAUGCGCAGAUAUCAGGAGGAACACCGGUGGCGAAGGCGGGUCUCUGGGCCACUACUGACGCUGAGAAGCGAAAGCGUGGGGAGCGAACAGG
rnacentral:rRNA from 1 species